rnacentral:rRNA from 1 species
CCGUUCCCAUACCGAACACGGAAGUGAAACACGCCAGCGCCGAUGAUACUUGGACCGCAGGGUCCUGGGAAAGUAGGGCGGUGCGGGGG